AGAGAGAGACAUGCGCGCAUAUCAAUAAGCGGAGGAAAAGAAACUAACAAGGAUUCCCUUAGUAACGGCGAGUGAAGCGGGAAGAGCUCAAAUUUGAAAUCUUCAAGGUUUUACCUUGACGAAUUGUAGUUUAAAGAAGUGUUUUCUGCUGAAGUUUUGGUAAAAGUUCUUUGGAAUAGGACAUCAUAGAGGGUGAGAAUUCCGUAUUUGACCAUUAUUUUCAGCUUUGUGAUACACUUUCAAAGAGUCGGAUUGUUUGGGAAUGCAGUCCAAAAUGGGUGGUAAAUUUCAUCUAAAGCUAAAUAUUGGCGAGAGACCGAUAGCGUAACAAGUACCGUGAGGGAAAGAUGAAAAGAACCUUGAAAAGAGAGUUAAACAGUACGUGAAAUUGUCAAAAGGGAAGCGUUUGACACCAGUGUUGUUUUCUCGAAAAUCAAUUAAAAAUGGCUCGAUUUUGUAUUGUUGAGACCUUAAAAGCUCACUGUACAUUUUUCGUGUCUUUUUUAAUGCACUUUUCGUUUAACAAGUCAACAUCAGUUUCUUUUGUUGUAAAAGGGUCAUUGGAAGGUGGCUUUCUUUUCGGAGAAAGUGUUUAUAGCCUUUGGCCUCUGCAAUCGGAAGAGACUGAGGUCUGCAGCGUAGACUCUUCGGGGUUAGAUACAUUUGUGCUAAGUUAUAGCUUUUUAUAGACAACUUGUUGACUAUAAUUAGUCUUGUAGCUUACUCGCUUAUGCUAUUUUACCUACGCUUAGGAUGUUGAAGUCAUCGUAUCGCGC
rnacentral:rRNA from 1 species